rnacentral:rRNA from 1 species
UACGAAGGGGGCUAGCGUUGCUCGGAAUCACUGGGCGUAAAGCGCACGUAGGCGGAUUUUUAAGUCAGGGGUGAAAUCCUGGAGCUCAACUCCAGAACUGCCUUUGAUACUGAAGAUCUUGAGUUCGGGAGAGGUGAGUGGAACUGCGAGUGUAGAGGUGAAAUUCGUAGAUAUUCGCAAGAACACCAGUGGCGAAGGCGGCUCACUGGCCCGGUACUGACGCUGAGGCACGAAAGCGUGGGGAGCAAACAGG